AACGAACGCUGGCGGCAAGCUUAACACAUGCAAGUCGAACGGAUUUUUAUCAUAGCUUGCUAUGAUAAAAAUUAGUGGCAGACGGGUGAGUAAUGCAUAGGAAUCUACCUAGUAGUAUGGGAUAGCCACUAGAAAUGGUGGGUAAUACUGUAUAAUCCCUGCGGGGGAAAGAUUUAUCGCUAUUAGAUGAGCCUAUGUUAGAUUAGCUAGUUGGUAGGGUAAAGGCCUACCAAGGCAGUGAUCUAUAGCUGGUCUGAGAGGAUGAUCAGCCACACUGGAACUGAGAUACGGUCCAGACUCCUACGGGAGGCAGCAGUGGGGAAUAUUGGACAAUGGGCGCAAGCCUGAUCCAGCUAUGCCGCGUGAGUGAGGAAGGCCUUAGGGUUGUAAAACUCUUUCAGUGGGGAAGAUAAUGACGGUACCCAC
rnacentral:rRNA from 1 species